AACGAACGCUGGCGGCAGGCCUAACACAUGCAAGUCGAGCGCCCCAGCGAUGGGGAGCGGCGGACGGGUGAGUAACGCGUGGGAACGUACCCUUUGCUACGGAAUAGCCUCGGGAAACUGGGAGUAAUACCGUAUGUGCCCUUGGGGGAAAGAUUUAUCGGCAAAGGAUCGGCCCGCGUUGGAUUAGGUAGUUGGUGGGGUAAUGGCCUACCAAGCCGACGAUCCAUAGCUGGGUUUGAGAGGAUGAUCAGCCACACUGGGACUGAGACACGGCCCAGACUCCUACGGGAGGCAGCAGUGGGGAAUCUUAGACAAUGGGCGAAAGCCUGAUCUAGCCAUGCCGCGUGGAACGAUGAAGGCCCUUUAGGGGUUGUAAAAGUCCCUUUCAGAUGGGAAGAUAAUGACGGUACCAUCAGAAGAAGCCCGGCCUAACUCCGUGCCAGCAGCCG
rnacentral:rRNA from 1 species